AAGACACCACCAAAGAACACAGAUCUUUCUAUCAGCUUGGCACCUGGAGCUUUCUCCUUUCUCUGAGACCUGCAAAUUUGAAUAUAUCUGCAGCCAAAUGGCAGGUUCCUUCACAAAAGGAAGUCAGCUGUAAUGCACAAGAGAUAGGCUGACUGCUUCGCUAAUCUGAACUGGGAUCUGGCAGGAGAAAGGUGAGCAGACCCAAUGGCCAGAGCUUUCCAUCCAUGAUCUGACAAGUGGAAUGAACGGUCAACCCCUUCUUUGUAAAUCAUGCCUUACUCUGAGCACAGUGCCCUCCUCUGUGAAUAGCUGCUGCCAAAAUGCUGGAUGAAGUGGCCUAGCCCACCUAAGAGAGUCUACUGAAAAGCUCACCAAUCACCUCUUCACCAGGUCCAUGUGUGAGUGGGGUUGUUAGCAACA
rnacentral:lncRNA from 1 species